UAAAAAAGCUUUGGAUGUAAUGAAACAAGCAACUGCAAUGCCAUCCAGCAGAACUAGCUUUUAUGAUGAGACAGAAUCUGUUCAAAAACGUCUCCAUAUAUCACUGAAGGUUUGGUCAAUGUAUGCUGAUUUGGAGGAGAGUUUAGGGACAUUUGAGGCGAAGCAACUGAUGAGGACAAUUUAGAAGCGUUGGCAAGAAUAGCGAAUCCUGAAGAGAUCUCAAUUGAUGAAGACGAUGAAGACGAAGAUGCAAAGAUUGAAGAAGUUCAACUUGAACAACAAAUGGUGCCUUCAAAGGUAUAAGUAUGACUUUGUAUAUUCAACCUCAUAGCUAUUUU